rnacentral:rRNA from 1 species
GAUGAACGCUGGCGGCGUGCCUAAUACAUGCAAGUCGAGCGAAUGGAUUAAGAGCUUGCUCUUAUGAAGUUAGCGGCGGACGGGUGAGUAACACGUGGGUAACCUGCCCAUAAGACUGGGAUAACUCCGGGAAACCUGGGCUAAUACCGGAUAACAUUUUGAACCGCAUGGUUCGAAAUUGAAAGGCGGCUUCGGCUGUCACUUAUGGAUGGACCCGCGUCGCAUUAGCUAGUUGGUGAGGUAACGGCUCACCAAGGCAACGAUGCGUAGCCGACCUGAGAGGGUGAUCGGCCACACUGGGACUGAGACACGGCCCAGACUCCUACGGGAGGCAGCAGUAGGGAAUCUUCCGCAAUGGACGAAAGUCUGACAGAGCAACGCCGCGUGAGUGAUGAAGGCUUUCGGGUCGUAAAACUCUGUUGUUAGGGAAGAACAAGUGCUAGUUGAAUAAGCUGGCACCUUGACGGUACCUAACCAGAAAGCCACGGCUAACUACGUGCCAGCCGCCGCGGUAAAAC